rnacentral:rRNA from 1 species
UACGUAGGGGGCUAGCGUUGUCCGGAAUCACUGGGCGUAAAGCGCACGUAGGCGGAUUGCUAAGUCAGGGGUGAAAUCCUGGAGCUCAACUCCAGAACUGCCUUUGAUACUGGCGACCUUGAGUCCGGGAGAGGUGAGUGGAACUGCGAGUGUAGAGGUGAAAUUCGUAGAUAUUAGGAAGAACACCAGUGGCGAAGGCGGCUCACUGGCCCGGUACUGACGCUGAGGCGCGAAAGCGUGGGGAGCAAACAGG